GCCGGGCUAGCUCUGUCGGUAGAGCAUGAGACUCUUAAUCUCAGAGUCGUGGGUUCGAGCCCCACGUUGGGCG
rnacentral:tRNA from 1 species